AUUAGAAAUCUUCUAUUACAACAACUUGCAUAUCCAUUUAAUGGCUGAACAUGUGAGAAGCCAACUAAAAUAAGAAACCUCACUACUAUAUGUAUAUAAUAGAGCCUCCAUUUUUCAUAUAUACCAUAUCAAUAAGCAUGGGAGAGGUGAAGUUUAUGUCUAAUUGGAUAGAUGUUUGAAUGUGUGUUAGAAAGUUGUGCGUAUUCGUCGGAGAAGAGGCUUGGCGUUCCCAUGAGGAAGAUCAUUCCGGUGAUCGAUCUUGCCACGCACGACCGAGCCCGACUCGUUGAAAAAAUUCUCGACGCUUCUCAAGAGUUCGGAUUUUUUCAGGUAGUGAACGUGUUCCCAGUGCCUAGCUUAUAGCUACCAGUCUGCCACACAUCCCAAAAACCUCAGAUAACUCAACAGUUGUUAGGUUAGCUCGAUUGAAAUCACUUUCAUUUGAAGACACUUUCUUCUACAUUCAAAUGAAGAAAAAAAUAGAUAUUGUGAUAAAUUUAGGAAUUGUGAGAACAUAUACUAAAUUCUUACCAUCUCCUCAACAAGGUUAAGAGGAUAAUCUGUGAGGGGGUGUGACACUUCAUUUGAAGAUGGAAAGAUAAACGUUCUUGUUGAGAGAGAGUCUCAUACUUAAGAAGAACAAGGGAUUUUUGGGGCAAGGAGUAGAAUACUGAGCUUUACAGAGUUAUGAAGUCAAGGAAUUGAUGCUUUUUAGGAAGAGUGGGAUCCACAAACUCCUUGAGCCAAAUAAGGAGUGAAGUUCGCAACUCCUACUUCCUAACUCCUUAGGCCAAACAUACAGUAUCAAUAUUCACUAAGAUUCUCACACUUAGGGGGAACCUAUGUUUAUUUAAGAGAGAGUCUCACACUACUCUG